GACUCUCGGCAACGGAUAUCUCGGCUCACGCAUCGAUGAAGACGUAGCAAAAUGCGAUACUUGGUGUGAAUUGCAGAAUCCCGUGAACCAUCGAGUUUUGAACGCAAGUUUGCGCCCGAAGCCAUUCGGUUGGGGACGUCGCCUGGGCGUCA
rnacentral:rRNA from 11 species